rnacentral:rRNA from 1 species
CACGUAGGGCGCGAGCGUUGUCCGGAAUUAUUGGGCGUAAAGAGCUCGUAGGCGGCCUGUUGCGUCCGCUGUGAAAGCCCCGGGGCUUAACCCCGGGUCGGCAAUGGAUACGGGCAGGCUAGAGGUAGGUAGGGGAGAAUGGAAUUCCUGGUGUAGCGGUGAAAUGCGCAGAUAUCAGGAAGAACACCCGUGGCGAAGGCGGGUCUCUGGGCCGAUACUGACGCUGAGGAGCGAAAGCGUGGGGAGCGAACAGG